GCCAGGUGUGGUGGUGCACACCUGUAAUCCCAGCCUCAGGAGGCUGAGACAGGAGGAUCAAAGGUCAAAGCCAGGCUCAG
rnacentral:sRNA from 1 species